rnacentral:lncRNA from 1 species
GCCCAAGUGGCCAGAGUCACUCCCUCACAAAUAUGAGGGAAGUGGUUCGAGCCUCCGCAGACGCAUUGUAGGGGUUUGAUUUCAAUUUCCUUCCUUGGAGCCCCAGAGCUUAAGUGAAGGCAGUCUUUCUCCCAUAAUGGGAGUUGACGUCCCUCGAAUAUUUGAGAGGGUUAAAAAUCUGAGCGGUGUCAUAUCAGAAUUGAUGUAAACGGGUCUCAGUACAUAUAUGAUUGUAAAUGUUAUCAUGAGCAAUA